rnacentral:rRNA from 1 species
AGUGAACGCUGGCGGUAGGCCUAACACAUGCAAGUCGAACGGCAGCACAGUAAGAGCUUGCUCUUACGGGUGGCGAGUGGCGGACGGGUGAGGCAUACAUCGGAAUCUACUUUUUCGUGGGGGAUAACGUAGGGAAACUUACGCUAAUACCGCAUACGACCUACGGGUGAAAGCAGGGGAUCUUCGGACCUUGCGCGAUUGAAUGAGCCGAUGUCGGAUUAGCUAGUUGGCGGGGUAAAGGCCCACCAAGGCGACGAUCCGUAGCUGGUCUGAGAGGAUGAUCGGCCACACUGGAACUGAGACACGGUCCAGACUCCUACGGGAGGCAGCAGUGGGGAAUAUUGGACAAUGGGCGCAAGCCUGAUCCAGCCAUACCGCGUGGGUGAAGAAGGCCUUCGGGUUGUAAAGCCCUUUUGUUGGGAAAGAAAAGCAGCAGGUUAAUACCCCGCUGUUCUGACGGUACCCAAAGAAUAAGCACCGGCUAACUUCGUG